GGUUGACCUCGGAUCAGGUAGGGAUACCCGCUGAACUUAAGCAUAUCAAUAAGCGGAGGAAAAGAAACCAACAGGGAUUGCCUCAGUAACGGCGAGUGAAGCGGCAACAGCUCAAAUUUGAAAUCUGGCCCUUGCAGGGUCCGAGUUGUAAUUUGUAGAGGAUGCUUCGGGUUCGGCUCCGGUCUAAGUUCCUUGGAACAGGACGUCACAGAGGGUGAGAAUCCCGUACGUGACCGGCCGCCACGCCCGUGUGAAGCUCCUUCGACGAGUCGAGUUGUUUGGGAAUGCAGCUCAAAAUGGGUGGUAAAUUUCAUCUAAAGCUAAAUACCGGCCAGAGACCGAUAGCGCACAAGUAGAGUGAUCGAAAGAUGAAAAGCACUUUGGAAAGAGAGUUAAAAAGUACGUGAAAUUGUUGAAAGGGAAGCGCUUGCAACCAGACUUGCCCGCGGGUGAUCAACCGGUAUUCUUACCGGUGCACUCGCCCGUGGUCAGGCCAGCAUCGGUUUGGGCGGCUGGACAAAGGCCCCCGGAAUGUAGCUCCUCUCGGGGAGUGUUAUAGCCGGAGGUGCAAUGCAGCCAGCCCGGACCGAGGACCGCGCUUCGGCUAGGAUGC
rnacentral:sRNA from 1 species